CUUUGGAAGUUAACCCUUUACCACCUGGGAAAUCAUGUCAGCAGUUUACUCUUUGACCACUGGCAAUAGAUUUUUUUUUAUUAUGACAAUUGCCUGGUGGGGGCUCCCCUAAGUGUAGACAAGCAACUACUGGUCUUGGACAUCUCAUUUGUCCAGUUGUUUGAAUACGGACAAAUGUGCAGGUCCGUCCUUUGGUUAUUUCACUUAUUUCUUCAUGGGGGACCCAUUCCAUGUACCCUCUGUUUAUUUCUGAGUCCUACAUGCACCCAAUAUCUUUGUUUUUUGUGUUCAUGUGAAGGUGAUUUCACCAUAAAAAGCUGAGGCGUUUCAAUGUGUUUUACUAUGCUGUUAAACAGCAUGUUGUUAAACUAUUCUUUUAAAAGUGGAGUUUAGUUGACCUCCAGUAGCAAGUCAUCUCUCUAGGACACAAAAUUCUGAGAACCAUUACUACAGCCUAUCAACCUUAAACUAUUUGCAGUUAAACACUGGAAGAGGAAUAUAUAUGCAGUAAAGGUGCUCAGGAAUGUGAUUGUG